rnacentral:rRNA from 1 species
UACGGAGGGUGCAAACGUUGCUCGGAAUCAUUGGGCGUAAAGCGCACGUAGGCGGCCUGAUAAGUCGGGUGUGAAAGCCCUGGGCUCAACCCAGGAAGUGCACUCGAAACUGUCAGGCUUGAAUAUGGAAGAGGGUCGCGGAAUUCCCGGUGUAGAGGUGAAAUUCGUAGAUAUCGGGGAGGAACACCAGUGGCGAAGGCGGCGACCUGGGCCAAUAUUGACGCUGAGGUGCGAAAGCGUGGGGGAGCAAACAGG